GAUGAACGCUGGCGGCGUGCCUAAUACAUGCAAGUCGAGCGAACAGACGAGGAGCUUGCUCCUCUGACGUUAGCGGCGGACGGGUGAGUAACACGUGGAUAACCUACCUAUAAGACUGGGAUAACUUCGGGAAACCGGAGCUAAUACCGGAUAAUAUAUUGAACCGCAUGGUUCAAUAGUGAAAGGCGGUUUUGUUGUCACUUAUAGAUGGAUCCGCGCCGCAUUAGCUAGUUGGUAAGGUAACGGCUUACCAAGGCAACGAUGCGUAGCCGACCUGAGAGGGUGAUCGGCCACACUGGAACUGAGACACGGUCCAGACUCCUACGGGAGGCAGCAGUAGGGAAUCUUCCGCAAUGGGCGAAAGCCCGACGGAGCAACGCCGCGUGAGUGAUGAAGGUCUUCGGAUCGUAAAACUCUGUUAUUAGGGAAGAACAAAUGUGUAAGUAACUAUGCACGUCUUGACGGUACCUAAUCAGAAAGCCACGGCUAACUACGUG
rnacentral:rRNA from 1 species